rnacentral:rRNA from 1 species
AUUGAACGCUGGCGGCAGGCCUAACACAUGCAAGUCGAACGCGUGGCGGACGGGUGAGUACUGUCUGGGAAACUGCCCGAUGGAGGGGGAUAACUACUGGCCACGGUAGCUAAUCCCGCAUACCAUCGGAUGUGCCCAGAGGGGAUUAGCUAGUAGGUGGGGUAACGGCUCACCGAGGCGACGAUCCCUAGCUGGUCUGCGAGGAUGACCAGCCACACUGGAACUGAGACACGGUCCAGAGUCCUACGGGAGGCAGCAGUGGGGAAUAUUGCACAAUGGGCGCAAGCCGGAUGCAGCCAUGCCGCGUGUAUGAAGAAGGCCUUCGGGUUGUAAAGUACGUUCAGCGAGGAGGCGUUACUCGCAGAAGAAGCACCGGCUAACUCCGUGCCAGCAGCCGCGGUAAUAC